UGCUGGUUUGCUGAUACUGGUCGCGAGGCUGGCGCUAUCGCUGCUGCUCCGUGCUGACUGAGCGACUGUGGUGAGCAGACGCGGCUGGUACUGGGCACGGCCGGCGCUGCAGCGACUGACUGUGAUACUGUGUCGACAGGAGCGGACAGCUUACUCAGAUGGCUCGAGGAGAGGGCGCGGGGGAAGGCCAGGGUGCCGGCGCCGGCCGGGAUGACGGGGGCGCCAUUUGGAGCCUCGUCUGGCUCAUCAUUCUCAUCCUGGUGAGCUUUUUCAUCGCGGGCUUCUGCGCUGGCUGGUACAUCAUCUUCUCCAUCUUCACACCAUGCAUCGAGCAACUAAAGCCGGUGACGGACAUUCUACUGGUCGGCGUCAACUUCCCACACAUGUGCUCACAAAACAUCCUCUCCGGAAAGCCGAUCGGCUAAUCGAAGCUUGGCCAAAGGUGGCGCCUUUAUCAAUUUCUAUCGCAUGGAGUUGCAAAUGACUGAAUUCGCAUCGUUACCAAUUAUAUACUGCCAUAAAUGAUAACAAUAACACGUCAAAUGUAUAUUUAAACACACAAAGCUUUCGGUAUGAAAAUACCUUGGUCACUGUGUUAACAGAAUCGUCGUACAUGCCGAACAAUCUCAUCAUUUACCGAACUGGGGAGCAACUCGAUUAUUAGAGAAGGGCGCACGAAAAACGACACGAAAAAUCUUAGAAGCGGCUCACAUAUCAGCACGCGAUACCAUCAAUACUAGGACUGGAUUUAUAACUUUAGCAACAUGCGCUGUAAGCUUAGUGGCAGGACCCCGAUAGAUAAUCUCGUGAUUGUGAUCUAUUUUUCGAGUGCUAUUUUAUAUUUUUGUACAAGCUGCCGGUGACAAUUUCUGUCCUCAUUUCUGUUAACACAGUGACCAAGGUAUUUUCAUACCGAAAGCUUUGUGUGUUUAAAUAUACAUUUGACGUGUUAUUGUUAUCAUUUAUCCUAACUGUCUUGGAUAUUCUACAUAUAUACUGCCAUUUUGAACGUCUUCUCAGUGAGUGUUAAGUUAAGCUGAAACCAAUUUUUUAUUAUUCUUGGGAUGAACAACUGAGGGAUCCGUAUGCAUUCACUCCCGGAUAAAUGUCUUAUUUCUUCUUAUGAAGAAAUGACGUCGAAUGUAUAAUUACAAGUCUUCGGAAACGCCCGUGCCCGAACCUGGAAACCAUAAGUGUCUGCAGUGUUCAACCCGGGCCCGCAGCGUUAGCAAAUGAACACCAAGCUGCUUAUUAUGGGAUGGACUUGUUCUGUUCAUCUCAAGCGUGUUGCUGCGUGUCAAGUGUUUUUAAUAAAUGUGUCUUCACCA